rnacentral:rRNA from 1 species
AUUGAACGCUGGCGGCAGGCCUAACACAUGCAAGUCGAACGGUAACAGAAAGCAGCUUGCUGCUUUGCUGACGAGUGGCGGACGGGUGAGUAAUGUCUGGGAAACUGCCUGAUGGAGGGGGAUAACUACUGGAAACGGUAGCUAAUACCUCAUAACGUCGCAAGACCAAAGAGGGGGACCUUCGGGCCUCUUGCCAUCGGAUGUGCCCAGAUGGGAUUAGCUUGUUGGUGGGGUAACGGCUCACCAAGGCGACGAUCCCUAGCUGGUCUGAGAGGAUGACCAGCCACACUGGAACUGAGACACGGUCCAGACUCCUACGGGAGGCAGCAGUGGGGAAUAUUGCACAAUGGGCGCAAGCCUGAUGCAGCCAUGCCGCGUGUAUGAAGAAGGCCUUCGGGUUGUAAAGUACUUUCAGCGGGGAAGAAGGGAGUAAAGUUAAUACCUUUGCUCAUUGACGUUACCCGCAGAAGAAGCACCGGCUAACUCCGUGCCAGCAGCCGCCGUAA